rnacentral:rRNA from 1 species
UACGGGGGGUGCAAGCGUUGUCCGGAAUCAUUGGGCGUAAAGAGUUCGUAGGCGGCACGUAAAGUCUGGUGUUAAAGGCAGAGGCUCAACUUCUGUACGGCACUGGAUACUUGCGAGCUAGAAUGCGGUAGAGGUAAAGGGAAUUCCUGGUGUAGCGGUGAAAUGCGUAGAGAUCGGGAGGAACACCAGUGGCGAAGGCGGCCUGCUGGGCUCUAACUGACGCUGAGGCACGAAAGCGUGGGUAGCAAACAGG